rnacentral:rRNA from 1 species
AUUGAACGCUGGCGGAAUGCUUUACACAUGCAAGUCGAACGGCAGCAUAGAGAGCUUGCUCUCUGAUGGCGAGUGGCGAACGGGUGAGUAAUAUAUCGGAACGUACCCAGUAAUGGGGGAUAACGAAUCGAAAGAUUCGCUAAUACCGCAUACGCCCUACGGGGGAAAGCGGGGGAUCGUAAGACCUCGCGUUAUUGGAGCGGCCGAUAUCUGAUUAGCUAGUUGGUGAGGUAAAGGCUCACCAAGGCGACGAUCAGUAGCUGGUCUGAGAGGACGACCAGCCAAACUGGAACUGCGACACGGUCCAGACUCCUACGGGAGGCAGCAGUGGGGAAUUUUGGACAAUGGGGGCAACCCUGAUCCAGCCAUUCCGCGUGAGUGAAGAAGGCCUUCGGGUUGUAAAGCUCUUUCGCAAGGGAAGAAAACUUAUCUACUAAUACUAGGUGAGGCUGACGGUACCUUGAUAAGAAGCACCGGCUAACUACGUGCCAGCCGCCGCCGUAA